rnacentral:rRNA from 1 species
GGAAUUCUGGGCGUAAAGCGCGCGUAGGCGGCUUUGUAAGUUAGAGGUGAAAGCCUGGAGCUCAACUCCGGAACUGCCUUUAAGACUGCAGAGCUAGCAGGUGACAGAGGUAAGUGGAAUUCCGAGUGUAGAGGUGAAAUUCGUAGAUAUUCGGAAGAACACCAGUGGCGAAGGCGGCUUACUGGCUCAUACUGGACGCUGAUGUGCGAAAGCAUGGGGAGCAAACAGGAUUAA